rnacentral:rRNA from 1 species
GAUGAACGCUGGCGGCGUGCCUAAUACAUGCAAGUCGAGCGAACAGACGAGGAGCUUGCUCCUCUGACGUUAGCGGCGGACGGGUGAGUAACACGUGGAUAACCUACCUAUAAGACUGGGAUAACUUCGGGAAACCGGAGCUAAUACCGGAUAAUAUAUUGAACCGCAUGGUUCAAUAGUGAAAGACGGUUUUGCUGUCACUUAUAGAUGGAUCCGCGCGGCAUUAGCUAGUUGGUAAGGUAACGGCUUAUCAAGGCAACGAUGCGUAGCCGACCUGAGAGGGUGGUCGGCCACACUGGAACUGAGACACGGUCCAGACUCCUACGGGAGGCAGCAGUAGGGAAUCUUCCGCAAUGGGCGGAAGCCUGACGGAGCAGCGCCGCGUGAGUGAUGAAGGUCUUCGGAUCGUAAAACUCUGUUAUUAGGGAAGAACAGAUGUGUAAGUAACUGUGCACGUCUUGACGGUACCUGAUCAGAAAGCCACGGCUAACUACGUG